rnacentral:rRNA from 1 species
UACGGAGGGUGCGAGCGUUGUCCGGAAUCACUGGGCGUAAAGGGCGCGUAGGCGGCGCGGGCAGUCAACGGUGAAAGCUUGGGGCUCAACCCCGAGUCGGCCGUCGAUACUCCCGUGCUGGAGCACUGUAGAGGCAGGUGGAAUUCCGGGUGUAGCGGUGGAAUGCGUAGAGAUCAGGAGGAACACCGGUGGCGAAGGCGGCCUACUGGGCCAGCACUGACGCUGAGGCGCGAAAGCUCGGGGAGCGAACGGG